GACGAACGCUGGCGGCGUGCCUAACACAUGCAAGUCGAACGAAGUGGCGAACGGGUGAGUAAAGCGUAAUCAACCUGCCCUUCAGAGGGGGACAACAGAUGGAAACGACUACUCAUACCGCAUACAGAAGGAGGGGAUUGCGUCAGAUUAGCAAGUUGGAGGGGUAACGGCCGACCAAGGCGAUGAUCAGUAGCCGGUCUGAGUGGAUGAACGGCGACAUUGGGAAUGAGACACGGCCCAGACUCCUACGGGAGGCAGCAGUGGGGAAGCUUCCGCAAUGGACGAAAGUCUGACGGAGCAACGCCGCGGGAGUGAUGACGGCCUUCGGGUUGUAAAGCUCUGUUAAUCGGGACGCGGUACCGGAAUAGAAAGCCACGGCUAACUACGUGCCAGCAGCCGCGGUAAUAC
rnacentral:rRNA from 1 species